UACGGAGGAUGCAAGCGUUAUCCGGAAUGAUUGGGCGUAAAGCGUUCGCAGGUGGCUGUGUAAGUCUGCUGUCAAAGAGCGAAGCUCAACUUCGUAAAGGCAGUGGAAACUACACGGCUAGAGUGCGUUCGGGGCAGAGGGAAUUCCUGGUGUAGCGGUGAAAUGCGUAGAGAUCAGGAAGAACACCGGUGGCGAAGGCGCUCUGCUAGGCCGCAACUGACACUGAGGGACGAAAGCUAGGGGAGCGAACAGG
rnacentral:rRNA from 1 species